CCAUACGCUCUAACUCGCUCAUACAUCUGUCAGUCUCUCACUCUGUGACUCUCUCUUUCUCUCUCAUGCCUUUGCUCUCUCUCUCUCUCUCUCUCGCUUUUGUCUCCAUCGUCGUCGGGUAUAGGAACAUCACUGCCAUCACACACGAGCACCACCGUCAAUCCACCAUUGAAGCAUUACCCAGGUUCCAAGGUUAUCUAUGUUGCUAGAGCACAUAAAAAAGAAUAACGCGAGCAGAUUUUAUGUUGCCAGUUUGAGGAGAAACGAAAGGAGCAAAUAAUGAAAUACCAAGGUUCAAAUGUCUAUGUCAAGAAUUUUUAUGAUGAUGUCAUUGAUGAUGAGCUGCGAGAACACUUCAGCCAGUGUAGCACGAUCACCUCUACAAAACUAAUGCAAGAUGAAAAAGGAACCAGCAAGGGGUUUGGGUUUGUCUGCUUCUCAACACCUGAGGAGGCCAAUAAAGCUGUGAACAAUUUUCAUGGUGAGCACUAUGAAUAUAUAAGCUUAUGGAUGUGAUGUAGAUGUCGUUGAAUUAAGAUGCAUUAACAUUCUUCGAGUUGGUCAUGCAAAUUGGUUGAUAUGUUUUGAUCUGAAAGAAGUUAUUAUGCUAAUGUUUAAUUUUAUAUAAUGGAAUAAUAUAAAUUGCCAUUUGAAUAGUA